rnacentral:rRNA from 1 species
UACGGAGGGUGCAAGCGUUAAUCGGAAUUACUGGGCGUAAAGCGCACGUAGGUGGUUUGUUAAGCCAGCUGUGAAAUCCCCGGGCUCAACCUGGGCACUGCAGUUGGAACUGGCAAGCUAGAGUAGGGUAGAGGGGUGUGGAAUUCCAGGUGUAGCGGUGAAAUGCGUAGAUAUCUGGAGGAACAUCAGUGGCGAAGGCGGCACCCUGGACUCAUACUGACACUGAGGUGCGAAAGCGUGGGGAGCAAACAGG